UGCUGUCAUUGUGAGUGACACGUUUUACACACACGACAGAGACCCUGCAAUUUAAUGGAAAUCCAGCAAACUUGUCACUUGAAACAGAAGAAAAGACGAAAAGAAGUUCCUUUGGAAAUGGAACGGCGUUCUCGUCUCAUCAACGCAUUCGCUGAAUCUUGGACUCAUUUUUCUGCGUCGUGAACCAUCUGCGGUGCAAGAAAGCUUCAAGUCAACAACUUCAGCGGUAUAGAAGCUGCUGAGAGGGACAAGUCCGUGCUGGUUGUUGCAGUCGUGUUUGCUGUGAUUUGACUACGGUAAUCUCCAGGCAUCUCAUCAAACAUGGCAGCGAGUGCUCGGUCGAUGUCGAUAG